rnacentral:rRNA from 1 species
UACGGGGGGGGCAAGCGUUGUUCGGAAUUACUGGGCGUAAAGGGCUCGUAGGCGGCCAACUAAGUCAGACGUGAAAUCCCUCGGCUUAACCGGGGAACUGCGUCUGAUACUGGAUGGCUUGAGAUUGGGAGAGGGAUGCGGAAUUCCCAGUGUAGAGGUGAAAUUCGUAGAUAUUGGGAAGAACACCGGUGGCGAAGGCGGCGAGCUGGUCCAUUACUGACGCUGAGGCGCGACAGCGUGGGGAGCAAACAGG